rnacentral:rRNA from 1 species
UACGUAGGCAGCGAGCGUUGUUCGGAAUUACUGGGCGUAAAGAGUGUGUAGGCGGUGCUCUAAGUUCGGUGUGAAAUCUCCUAGCUCAACUGGGAGGGUGCGCCGGAAACUGGAGUGCUUGAGCGUGGGAGAGGAAAGCGGAAUUCCUGGUGUAGCGGUGAAAUGCGUAGAUAUCAGGAGGAACACCUGUGGUGUAGACGGCUUUCUGGACCAUAGCUGACGCUGAGACACGAAAGCGUGGGUAGCAAACAGG